UAGAAGAACGGUUGGAAAGAAACGAGAGAAAAAAUCUGGGGAAAAAGUAGAGAGGUCAGCGAUACCACCCACAAAACUCCAUCUUCUUCUUUUAAAAAAGUAGUAGCGACAGAAUGGGUAGAAACGGAGGAAGGAAAAUCUUUUCACUGUCCUAAGUCUUGCAUUCUUUUUCUUCUUAUGCAAAUCUUCUGAUACUUCUUCUAUUAAUAGUCACACUAACCAAUAUAAUUAAAAAGACUCACCACCAAAAGAGAAAAAGGAGAAGAACACAGACUGUCUUCUUCUUCUUCUUAAAAGCUCCUUCAUUUUCCCAUUAAAACCAGCAGCCCAACCUCAUGUCAAAAACUAGUCCCGGACAACCCUCAAAAUCCACAAACACCUCCCAAACCCAGGAAAAACAGCUGCCAAAAUCACCUGAAAACAGUCCCCUUCUCGAUAAAUAGCAACUCCAAAAGUUGAGUUCGUCGCGUCAAGGUCGCCGACUUGGUUUUCAGUUCGAGGCGUAAUUUAGUCCAGAUCUUAUCGUCAGUUUCUUGUGUUUUUGCUCCUUUCAAAUCAUUCACUGUAUAAAUCUUUGGGAUAAAAGUGUUGGAUUAUAAUGAAGAAAGCUUCUCGCUAUAAGAUUUGGAGCAUUCGGAGGCCGAGUCGAGAGGCAAGGGUAUCGCGGGUUAGAGUUUGGACCGGUUUGAGGUAAGUAAUGAUUGUAAAUCUUGUCCUGAGGGUAUGAAACCCGAAUUUCAAGAUGUUAUUCUUGUUACUGGCGAGGAUCGAAAAAUCGCUGGGCAGAAAGUAUAAAAGGACUCCUUCGCGAAUUUUGUCUAAUUUCUCCAUUUUUAAGACGGGUGUUGAGCUUGGAUAGUGAUUUCUCAAGAGGGAUCAAGGGUUAUCAGUUGGAUAAGCUACUUAAGCUUUAUUAUGUGUUUAUGAUAAUUUUUUCAUUGUUUAAUCAUGAUAUUAGUGGAAAUUAGGGAAGAAAUUUAGGGGAUUAGGGCUUGAAAUUGGAGAGUUUAAAUUGGAGAUUUGAGGGACCAUUUGAGGUCCGAUUUUGAUGUUUUUGGUAUGAAUAGACUCGGGAAUGAAAGGAGUUUGUAGUUUCACAAAUUUUGUUGGAUUCCGAGACCUGGGUCCAGGGCCAGGUUUGAGCAAAUUUGGGAUUUUUGGUCUAAUUUGAUAAUUUUCAUGUGGGUUUCAUUCCUUUAGUGUAUAUUGAUGUUAGCAUACUGAUUUUGGUUAGAUUCAAAGCAUUUGGAGGUAGAAUCGAGAGACAAGGGCAUCGCAAGUUAGACUUUUUGCUUGGUUUGAGAUCCAGGCAUCUCAGGCCACGGUAGCAGUUAUUGACUGUUCUAGACGCGUAUUUCAUUGGAGAUUGCGAGGUAGCUGUCUGAUGUUCGCAGCCCCGCAUUUCUCCUUCUUUACCUCCCUUCUAGUAUAUUUUGGAUAUUUCAGACUAUUUUGGUCUAGUUGUAUUUCAAAACAAAUGUAGUGUUGUUCAUGACUUAGUGACACCUGAGG